rnacentral:rRNA from 1 species
UACGGGAGGCAGCAGUGGGGAAUAUUGCACAAUGGGCGCAAGCCUGAUGCAGCCAUGCCGCGUGUAUGAAGAAGGCCUUCGGGUUGUAAAGUACUUUCAGUCGUGAGGAGGUGUUAAGGUUAAUAACCUUAGCAAUUGACGUUAGCGACAGAAGAAGCACCGGCUAACUCCGUGCCAGCAGCCGCGGUAAUACGGAGGGUGCGAGCGUUAAUCGGAAUUACUGGGCGUAAAGGGCACGCAGGCGGUUAAUUAAGUUGGAUGUGAAAUCCCCGGGCUUAACCUGGGAAUGGCAUUCAAGACUGGUUAGCUAGAGUCUUGUAGAGGGGGUAGAAUUCCAUGUGUAGCGGUGAAAUGCGUAGAGAUGUGGAGGAAUACCGGUGGCGAAGGCGGCCCCUGGACAAAGACUGACGCUCAUGUGCGAAAGCGUGGGGAGCAAACAGGGAUUAGAUACC